rnacentral:rRNA from 1 species
CCUACGGGAGGCAGCAGUGGGGAAUAUUGCACAAUGGAGGAAACCCUGAUGCAGCGACGCCGCGUGAGCGAUGAAGUAUCUCGGUAUGUAAAGCUCUAUCUGCAGGGAAGAAAACGACGGUACCUGACUAAGAAGCCCCGGCUAACGACGUGCCAGCAGCCGCAGUAAUACGGAGGGGGCAAGCGUUAUCCGGAUUUACUGGGCGUAAAGGGAGCGUAGACGGCGGUGCAAGCCAGAUGUGAAAGCCCGGGGCUUAACCCCGGGACUGCAUUUGAAACUGUGCUGCUAGAGUGUCGGAGAGGCAGGCGGAAGUCCUAGUGUAGCGGUGAAAUGCGUAGAUAUUAGGAGGAACACCAGUGGCGAAGGCGGCCUGCUGGACGAUGACUGACGUUGAGGCUCGAAAGCGUGGGGAGCAAACAGGAUUAGAUACCCGAGUAUUC